rnacentral:rRNA from 1 species
GACGAACGCUGGCGGCGUGCUUAACACAUGCAAGUCGAACGGAAAGGCCCUGCUUGCAGGGUACUCGAGUGGCGAACGGGUGAGUAACACGUGGGUGAUCUGCCCUGCACUUCGGGAUAAGCUUGGGAAACUGGGUCUAAUACCGGAUAGGAGCCAUCUUUAGUGUGGUGGUUGGAAAGUUUUUUCGGUGUAGGAUGAGCUCGCGGCCCAUCAGCUUGUUGGUGGGGUAAUGGCCUACCAAGGCGGCGACGGGUAGCCGGCCUGAGAGGGUGUACGGCCACAGUGGGACUGAGAUACGGCCCAGACUCCUACGGGAGGCAGCAGUGGGGAAUAUUGCACAAUGGGCGCAAGCCUGAUGCAGCGACGCCGCGUGGGGGAUGAAGGCCUUCGGGUUGUAAACUCCUUUCGCUAGGGACGAAGCUUUGUUGUGACGGUACCUAGAUAAGAAGCACCGGCUAACUACGUG